rnacentral:tRNA from 1 species
GUCCUCGCAGAGCAGCCCGGAGUGCUCGCCACCCUGUCAAGUUGGAGAUCACGGGUUCAAAUCCCGUCGGGGACG